rnacentral:rRNA from 1 species
AACGAACGCUGGCGGCGUGGUUUAGGCAUGCAAGUCGAGCGAGAAAGCUCCUUCGGGAGUGAGUAAAGCGGCGAAAGGGUGAGUAAUGUAUAGGGAAGGUACCCUCGGGACCGGGAUAAUUCUUGGAAACGGGUUGUAAUACCGGAUGGUCCUUCGGUGUCUCAUGGCACUGUUGGUAAACGGAUUCUGCCUGAGGAGCCCCCUAUACCCUAUUAGCUUGUUGGUGAGGUAAUGGCUCACCAAGGCAUUGAUGGGUAGCCGGACUGAGAGGUUGGCCGGUCACACUGGAACUGAGACACUGUCCAG